UUUAAAAGUUGGGGGCAGCACGUUGACUUAGUGGUUAGUAUUGUUGCCGCACAGUAAGAAGGUUAUGGGUUCAAUUCCCACCUGUGGCCUUUCUGUGUGGAGUUUGCAUGUUCUCCCCGUGGUUGCAUGGGCUCCCUCUGGGUGCUGCAGCUUCCUCCCACAUCCAAAGACAUGCAGGUUAGGUGAACUGGAAACUUUAUGAUUGUCCAGGUCUCCAUUGUAAAAGAGGCCUCAAUGGAACUAA